rnacentral:lncRNA from 1 species
AGAGAGAGGGGCUCACGAGGGGGGCGAAGGGGGAGGAGAGGGAGAGGAGGUUGGAGAGCGCGGCGAGGGCGGCGGAUUUGGAGGAGGAGGCGACGAAUCGCCGGACGAGGCGGUCGGCGGCGGCGGAAUCAGCAGCGGCGGAGAGCGAGGAGAGCAGCCGGUCGGCGCUCUUCCGCCCGCUCGAUCCGCCGGCGGCGGAGGCGAUGCAGGCGGGCGGCGAUGGCGUCAGGGAGAAGAACGCCGACAUCGGCGCACGAGCGUCCGGCCGGUCUAUCGAGUAAUUACAACUUUACAAGCGGAUGAACCAUCAUUGUUGGGUAAUAGUGAUUGAUUAGUUUAGUUUAGUUUUUUNAGAGAGAGAGAGAGAGAGAGAGAGAGAGAGUUGCGCUAGAAUACUAUCGAUAGCAAACGGGCUCCGUUGCCACCCAUUUGUUUUCGAUGAUGGAGCCUCCAAAUCGACGAUCAGCACCGUUGAACAUGAUCUAUACCACUUGAAGUGCUUAGAAAUCAAAUUUCAUACAUUUUCAAUAUUGUUCUCUCAUCCAUCGAGUGGACACAAAAUGAACGGCUGAAAAUAAAUAUUCUUUAAAAAAUGAUGAUAGGAGUCUUGUAAUCAAGAUCAAGAGUAUAGAUCUUG